rnacentral:tRNA from 1 species
UCCCUGGUGGUCCAGAGGCUAAGACUCUGAGGUCCUAAUGCAGAGAACCUGGGUUCAAUCCCCAGCCAGGGAG